GGCGCGACUGAGGCGUGCAGCUCUGGCGGCGCGAGCGACCCGGCCGCGGCGGGCGACGCGCGAUGGCGUGUCUGGUUUGCAUCAGAUCUCGUGAUGGCGCGGCGGAUUUCGCUGGACGCCGGCGUUCUCUGGCUCCGACGAGAGGCGCUGCGCAUCGUGCUUCUGGACGAGCACGGGAAGACGGUGGAUGCUCGGUUCCUCCGGGAGGGUGAGUCCUUUAACAUCGGUGACAUCGUCGCUUUUACUUGCCACUUUGCUCGCGUCGGGGACAGGAUUCCGGCACCGAGCACAGCCGCCGCCGAUGCGGCGAAGGAUUUGACCGUGGGUCAACAGAGGGCGGUUUCACGGGGGCCUGGAGCCGCUCCGUGCAUCUGACAGGAGGGCCAGGGAUCCUGGGGCGUGGACCGGGCGGACGCGCCUCUGAUGAUCGACACGUGGGACAGAUGAGAUCCGACCACCAUGGAUCCUCUAAACUUAGGGUUUCGCUGGGCGCCGCUCAUAUAAAACCACACCCGGUUCCCCUCUCCCCCAUUUUAGAUCUCAGCAAGGGCCUCUCUCACUUCUGGGACGCGUCGUCGCCUCCUAAAGCUAGGGUUCCUAGAUCCUUCGCCUGGUGGGAGGGCAAAAUCCGUGGUGAUCCUCGUUCCUUUGCUCAAGUUGCGAGUUCUCCACCUCAACCACAUACCCUUGAUCCGAUUUGUGAGGUUAGCACCAUGAGAAAGGAGGGAUUUGGGGCUGGGCGCCACGGUCGGGGGGCCGGGCGUUUCGACCGCGGCCUGGGACGCGGUCGCAGCCUCGACCGCAAUGUGUGGAAGCGCAAGACAGAGUCGGGCGGAUCUUCAACUCAGAAAGCUUCUGGAUCGGGGGAUGCUGGAUCCAGGAAGUGGGACGAGGUGGCCGACGGCAAUCUUGCUGCUCCCCCUCGAGCUGGGAGGUGGGGCGAUGAAGAUGGGGACACAAGCGAGCCCCGUGCGGUGGAAAAGAAUCCUAUGUCUCCACGUGCGCGUGAUCCCCCUGCUUAUGCUGGUAACAAUGCUCCUCCUCCUUUUCCAUGUCAGAUCUGUAAUCUGAAUGGGCAUCCUACUGCUAGAUGUGCACAAGCUGUGUGUGAGCGGUGCAAGAAGAAAGGGCACCUGUCGGUUAUUUGCGCUGAAUUCUUACCUUGGGAAUUUUCGCCUGCUAUGUGUGGUUUCCAGAGCAAGGGGCAGGGUUUCUUUUAUAUUCCUGAUUUCAGUGUUGAUAGACAGCCUAGGGAGAGGAUUUUCAAUGUUGUUGUUACUAUAACCGAGGGGGAUGCGCUCACCAAAGAUGUUGAGCACGAGCUUAGUGUCUAUGUGGGCCAGGGUUGGCGCUGUUCUGCUAAAUUUUUUGCUCCGAACAUGUUUGUGAUGAGGAUGCCAAACCCUAGAGAAGUUGAUCGUGCUCUUUUCGUUGAACAUGUUAAACUGAAGAAGUGUGGUGUGGCUGUUAAAUUUUCCCCCUGGUCUGAGGAUAUUGAUUCUGAAGGGCUCCUAGAGGUUGCUUGGGUGAGGAUUGGGAAAAUCCCUCCUAAUAAACGUUGUGAUAAGACUAUAGCUUAUGUGGGGGGACUUGUGGGUAUAACCCUGGAGGUUGAUAUGGCUACUUUGAAUCAUCCGUCUUCUGUAAGAGCUAAAAUUGGAUGUCGAUCAGUGAAACAACUUCCUCACACAGCUGAAGGAGUGUUGGGGGGGCGUUUCUAUAAAUUUACUUUUGAGGUGGAGGAAAUCCUUGUGGUCAAUGCUGUUGACAAAGAGGCUGUGCGUGUGGAGGCCAAUGACAACCCCCCUAAACCUGAUCAGACUCCUAAGCGCAAGCGUGCUGAUCAAGGGGUGGAUGAAGAACAAUAUAACUUGAAUAAUGGGGAGAAAAGAGAAACUUCUGCUCGUGGGGGCAAGACCUGUCGUCUGUCACCACAGGAGCAAGAGACAUCCAUGUCGUCUGACAGUGAGGUGGACUCCUCUCUCCUCAUUGAAACGAUAGCUAAAGAGCACGAGCUGGCGGGGGCCCAUAUGACCCAGGAUACCUCUAAAUGGCUGACAACUAUGGAUCAUAUUGACAUCAAUGCUUCGAGGGGGAAUGAAAAUAUGAGUCAGCAAGUGAAGGUACAAAAUUCAUCUGGUAUUCGUCGAUCAUUGUCUUAUGCUGCUGUGGUUUCUAAUACUGCUCAGAUUGUGGAGGUGGAGGGAGACAUUGAUGCAGGCUUGAAGAACAACAGCGAUUAUGUGGUAUAGCUUCCAUCUUCUGAAUGCAGUGAUUGAGAUUGUUCUCACCCCUCCUCUAGCUCCAGAAGUAGCCCUUAAAUUCAGCAAGCGUAAUAUGUAGAGGAUGCAGGAGAAUAUUGAAGCAAAAGCUAUUGAGCUUGCCCAGAAAAAAGAUUUAGGAGGUAAUCAUACAGCUUGUACUAAUGCUUUUGAUGUUCUCUCUAAUUCUGAACUGUUACAUAGAGCUUCUUGCAUGGGUGUGAAUAUUCCUGAUAAUGAUUUCUCUUGUGUGGAUGUGCUUAGAGAAUUGGAGAGGGUUAGAGGAAAUCUUGCUGAUAAAGAUAAGGUGAAUGAGAAUAACAAACCCACUGAUGAUAAUGGGGAUGACAUUUUGGUUACCAAUGGGUUGGGUAAAUCUAUCCCUGUUAACCUCACCUGGCUGGACCAGGAAGAGGUGUUACAUGAUCAGAUUUCUUUAGGAAAAAACAAGAAGAAACCUAAGAAGAAUCUGUGGUGAAGAUUCCUAGACCUGUUACUAGGAGCCAAAAGAAACUAACCCCUACUGAAGAGUUGUUCCGUAGCCCUGCAAAGCCUCCUGGCAGGGCUACUCGAUCUAAUUUUCAUAAAGCUCGUUCCAAAUGAGAGGCCUCAUUUGGAACUGCAGAGGGGCAGGCAAGAAAGGGAUGGCCACCUGCCUCUCUGACCUUAUUAGUGACCAUUCCUUGGACUUUGUUGGGUUGUAGGAGACUAUGAAGAGUAAAUUUUCCCCUAAAUGCAUUGGGAGGAUUGAUCCCUUUGGUAUGUUUCAUUGGGAAUGGAUCCCAUUUGUUGGGANNNNNNNNNNNNNNNNNNNNNNNNNNNNNNNNNNNNNNNNNNNNNNNNNNNNNNNNNNNNNNNNNNNNNNNNNNNNNNNNNNNNNNNNNNNNNNNNNNNNNNNNNNNNNNNNNNNNNNNNNNNNNNNNNNNNNNNNNNNNNNNNNNNNNNNNNNNNNNNNNNNNNNNNNNNNNNNNNNNNNNNNNNNNNNNNNNNNNNNNNNNNNNNNNNNNNNNNNNNNNNNNNNNNNNNNNNNNNNNNNNNNNNNNNNNNNNNNNNNNUAUCCUGAGUGGUGUGAGACAUGGUACUUUGGAUAUUAUUUCAUGCACUAAAGGCAAAUAUAUUUUGCAAAUGGUGGUGCAUGACAAAAAAAUUAAGAAGGACUGGGGCCUCCUGGUAGUAUAUGGAUCUGCACAUGAGGAGUUUAAAGAGGAAUUUUUGGUGGAACUUGCUGCAAUGUGCAGCAACAUGAGUGUCCCUUACAUUGUGGGAGGGGACUUUAAUAUUCUGCGCAACUGCAAUGAAAAGAAUAAGAAGAUGAAUAGUAGUAGAUCUACUGAUCUUUUCAAUUCUAUCAUCAGUGCCCUGGCCCUUAGAGAGAUUUAUACUAGUGGGGGUAAAUAUACUUGGACCAAUAAUCAGGCACACCCAACUCUGGAGAAACUGGACCGGAUUUUGAUGUCUGAAGAAUGGGAAAACCUUUUCCCUUUGUUUUCUGUUAGGAAAUUAGUUCGAGAACUCUCUGACCAUAACCCACUACUGCUUUCUAGUGGGGAGGAAAGUAGAGAAGCUCCUAAACCUCGUGGGUUUCGUUUUAAUCUUGCCUGGAUAAAAGAUGAGAAGUUCUUACCCACGGUUAGUAGGAUUUGGGCUAGAAAGGUUCAGUCCUCUGACCCUAUUGAUAUCCUGAAUAUCAAGCUAAAAAGAUUCAAAACCUACUUCAAAGAUUGGGGAUCAGAUAAAUACGGCCACGGCAAAAGAAGAAAAGAGGAGCUCCGAAUUGAGCUGGCCAUGCUAGAAGAGCUUGAAGAAAAUGGCCCCUUAUCCCCUGAGCUAUACAGCAUCAAGAUUGAUGUUAGUACUGAGCUUCAUGAUAUACUGGUGAAUGAGGAGAUAUAUUGGCUCCAACAGUCUCAUGAACGCUGGCUCUUGAAAGGGGAUCUGAACACGGACUAUUAUCAUAAGAUUGCAAAUGGGCGCAAGAGGAAAAACACUAUCCAUUCCCUUAAAGCUGGGGACGUGGAGAUUGAGGGCACUGACAACCUGAUUGCCCAUGCCACAGAUUACUACCAAGAGUUUGUUCGGGCCUGGAUCCGGUAAUUUGUUCCAUUUUGACCCUGACACAUGGUCGGAUGAGGAAAAGCUUUGAUUUGUGUCGUGAGUUCACGGAGGAAGAGGUCAAGGAGGCGCUGUUCUCUAUGGCACAUAACAGAGCCCCUGGCCCUGACAACAUUCCUGCUGAAUUCUAUCAGGUGUGCUGGGAUAUUGUUAAAGAGGAUCUUAUGAGGUUGUUUGCGAGCUUUCAUAAUGGGACCUUGGAUGUCCAACGUCUGAACUACGGGGUGAUCACCCUUUUGCCCAAAUCUGCGGGCGCGGAUAAAAUUCAACAAUUUAGGCCUAUCUGUCUCCUGAGAUGUCCAUACAAACUUAUUACUAAAGUUUUGGAUCGGCGAGUGGAGAGAUACGCUGAUAAGCUCAUUAGCUCGACCCAAAAUGCUUUUAUCAAGGGUAGAAGCAUCAUGGACGGGGUGUUGUCGCUGCAUGAGAUUCUGAAUUAUACCCAUGUGAAAAAGAGGGUGGGGGUUGUCCUGAAACUUGACUUUGAAAAAGCGUAUGAUAAGGUGAACUGGGACUUUUUGUUAGAUUGUCACAAGCUUCGAGGUUUCAGUGAAACUUGGUGCAACUGGAUCAAGCAGAUCCUACACAAUGGUACAGUGAGUAUCAAGCUUAAUAAUCAGGUUGGUCCCUACUUUCAGAGCGCUAAGGGUGUGCGACAGGGGGAUCCCCACUCCCCUUUCCUGUUCAAUCUAGCUGCUGAUUGUCUUGCUAAGAUGAUCACCAAUGCCCAAAACAAUAACUUGCUGGUGGGUUUGGCUUCGGACCUCAUCCCUAAUGGAGUUGCGGUACUCCAAUAUGCUGACGACACUAUUAUCUGCCUGGAACACGAUGUUGAUAAGGCAGUAAACCUGAAGUUGCUGCUGUACAUCUUCGAGCUUAUGUCUGGACUCAAAGUGAACUAUCAGAAGAGCGAGAUUUUCACUGUAGGAGGCGAUGAGAACACACUGAAAUACUAUGCUGAGUUGUUUAACUGUGACGUGGGUAGCUUCCCCAUCAAGUACCUUGGUAUGCCUGUUAGUUAUUCCACCCUUAGAGAUUCUGACUGGGAGUUCAUAGUGGCCAAGUACCUUAAAAGAUUUGAGGCUUGGAUCGGUAAUGCUGCUUCCAUGGGGGGCAGACUGACUUUGUUGGAUUCAGUUGUCACACAAAUAUCCUUGUAUCAUAUGUCUAUGUGGCUUAUGAGCAAAACUUUCAUUGAAAAGCUUGAUAAACAUAGAAGGAAGUUCUUUUGGCAAGGCUGUAACAAGAAAAGGAGAUAUCAUUUGGCCAAAUGGGGCAGAAUAUGUAGAUCUCGAGAUAAAGGUGGCCUGGGAGUUAAAGAUCUUCGAAAACAAAACAUUAGCUUGAUGGUCAAAUGGUGGUGGAAACUUGAGACCCAAAAUGGCCUUUGGCAGCAAAUUGUACGUGCUCAAUACUUGAGAAACAGAUCUGUGGCUACGGUUGAAUCCAGGUUUAAUGACUCUCCGUGCUGGAAAGCCCUUCUGAAAGUUAAGACACUGCAUAUGGCUGGUAGGAAGAUCAAAACUAAUUCGGGAGAGAUAACUAGAGUGUGGAAAGAUUCCAUCAAUGGGCAUAGGCCGUUUCAGGACUGUUAUCCCCUGCUGUUUGACAUUUGCACUGAGCAGGACUGUACUGUCGCAAAUGUCAAAUCUGUGACUCCCAACACCUUCUUUAGAAGGAGACUGACCCCUGAUCUUCAGAGUCAAUGGGAAGAUAUGAGAAGUUAUAUUGACAGUAUUCAGUUGGGAGUAGGGGGGGGAUCAAGUGUACUGGGGCCUCAAUGGAAAUGGUAGAUUUUCUACCAAAUCUAUGUACAAAUGGCUAAAAAAUCCCCUUAGUGGCUGCCACUAUAGAUGGGUUUGGAAGGCCAAGAUCCCCCUCAAGAUCAAAAAUUUUCUGUGGCAGCUAUCUCAAGAUGCUGUUCUGACUAGACAAGUUAUGAAAGAGAGGAGAUGGCCUGGGGAUCCUAAAUGUUCCUUUUGUGACAAUAUUGAGUCUUCCCGGCAUUUGUUUUUCACCUGCCCUGUGGCUAAAGUGGUCUGGCGUUGUGUUGGGAUGGCACUAGGGACUGAUCUCUGUCCUAAUAGUUACUGGCAAUACUUCUCCUGGUGUUACACUUUCCUUCCGAUGGGAAGAAAUACUAUACUGUCGGCCUUGCGGCUGUUUGCUGGGCUAUUUGGCUGGCUCGAAAUCGAGCCACGUUUGAAAAAAAGCAGAUCAAGACGCCGUUUGAGAUUGUGUUUUCCAUGUGUUCCUUUUUGAUGUAUUGGGCAGGUCUUCAGCAAGGCGAUGGAGUCAAGGAGCUGCGCAGGGGGCGGACAUGGUCAGGUCUAGCACUAUGAGCAUGAUGAAGAUGUGCGAAGCGGCGAGGAGGUCGAUCGAAGGAGAAUGAUCUUACAAUCUCGCCUACAUUCAGAGUUGCCGCUGCGUUUCAUGUUGUUCCUCGUUUCUUAUUUGGCUCAUGUGUUUGAGCUUCUGCCGUAAUAGACUGUAGCAUUCCAGGUUGUGGGAUUAUGGUGUUGCCAGGUUUUCGCCCCAUGGCGUUCGUUUCGAUGUCGGGCGAACGCAGUGGGUUUCCUGACAAUGCCCGAACUCGCUGCACCUCUUUCCCCUGUCUCCUGAUGUUUUCUCGGAACUUUGUAUUUCCGUUCGUUUGCAAUGGAAAGGGGUCAUGCCCGGUUCGGAAAAAAAAACCUUGAGGGUUUGUUAGAACUUGAAGUACCCCCGAUGCCAAGACUGCUUCAAAGCUAUUGCAUGAAGCUCGCCAUAAACUUUAUUAUAUCCCAGUCCGAAGGCAAAGCAAUAC
rnacentral:lncRNA from 1 species